UGCUUCUCACUGUCUUGGAGCUGCCUCCCACCAGAAAGAGCCCGGAACAUCCUCCCAAACCAUGAGAAAGUCAUGGCGUGGGCCCAGUGCAUCCUUGGUCUCCUCACACUUAGAAGGGGCUUGGACCCUGGGGUCCCCAGAAAGGAGAGAAGGGAGGGCCUGAGGCACACUGCGACCCCAGAUGGACCCAAGGUGAGCAGGCACGUUGAACCGUGGCCUGGGGGAGAGAUCCAGGGAGCAGAGAGACAGGCGGAAGGCCUCAGAGGGGACAGGCAGAGAAGGGCAGAAGGAGAGAGACAGAAGACGGAGGGGGACAGAAAGGAUCAGAGAGACACAGUGUGGGGACAGCCCAGAGCGACAGGCGGAGAGAGCCAGAGGACAAGAGCGAAGACGACGCAGCGAGGGGGCGGCGGAGGGGCGCGGGCCGGCGGCUGAAUCGCUCUCUGUUCUGGCGCCGCACUGAGGGGCUUUCUUCGCGGCCGUGGGAAAGCGGUGGGCGAGCGCGCGCCGCCGCCAUGUGGACGGUAAUUAGCCGGAUUAGGGCGGGAGCCGCGCGGCCCGGGCGGGCGGCCCCGGAACAAAAGGCCCCUCUUUGCCCGCGCAAACGGCGGGGUCGCCGGGUCAGCGGGCAGGGUGCCCCCGAGGGGCGAGGGGCGAGGGGCCGCGCGCGCGUCCGGAGAAUGGGGCCUCUGUGCACCUGGCGGGCCGGCUUUGGGGUCCAGACUCGAGUGCGGGAGGAGAGCGGGGAGGCCAGAGGCGGCAAGACGCCACAGAGGUCAGAGCUGACCAGCCUUAGUGGUCGUAGUACUGGGGACACGGAUACCUUUUAUUGAGCGCCUACUGCGUACAGCUCCAUGCCGAGACAGCAUCGUGUCAUUUGAUCUUCCUAAGAACCCUCAGAGGCGGAUGCUACGAUGCCCUGAUUUUACAGAUGAGAGAGGAGAUGCAGAGAGCACCCUCUCCUGCCCACAGUUGCUGACAGCUGUUGUGAAUGGAAGAACCGGACAGCCCAGGUCAAGAUCUCACGGAUCGUGGGUUCAAUCCCUGUGUUGGGCUCUGCGCUGAUAGCAUGGAGCCUGCUUGGGAUUCUCUCUCCCUCUCUCUCUUCCCAUCCCCCUCUCGCACACUCUGUCUCUCUCUUGAAGUAAAUAAACUUAAAAAAUUUUUUU